AUUGAACGCUGGCGGCAGGCCUAACACAUGCAAGUCGAGCGGAGCGGCGGCCGGGUGAGUAAUGCCUAGGAAUCUGCCUGGUCGUGGGGGAUAACGUCCGGAAACGGGCGCUAAUACCGCAUACUAUCAGAUGAGCCUAGGUCGGAUUAGCUAGUUGGUGGGGUAAAGGCCUACCAAGGCGACGAUCCGUAACUGGUCUGAGAGGAUGAUCAGUCACACUGGAACUGGGACACGCUCCAGACUCCUCCGGGAGGCAGCAGUGGGGAGUCAUGGAUGAUUGACGAAAGCCUUGUCUGGCCAUGCCGCCUGAGUGAAGAAGGUCUUCGGAAUGUAAAGCUCUUUAAGUUGGGAGGCGUUACCAGCAGAAUAAGCACCGGCGAACUUCGUGCCAGCCGCCGCGGUAAUAC
rnacentral:rRNA from 1 species